rnacentral:rRNA from 1 species
UUGGGAGCUCUCCCAUAUGGUCGACCUGCAGGCGGCCGCGAAUUCACUAGUGAUUCGUAUUACCGCGGCUGCUGGCACGGAGUUAGCCGGAGCUUAUUCUCCCGGUACUGUCAUUAUCAUCCCGGGUAAAAGAGCUUUACAACCCUAAGGCCUUCAUCACUCACGCGGCAUUGCUGGAUCAGGGUUUCCCCCAUUGUCCAAGAUUCCCCACUGCUGCCUCCCGUAGGAGUCUGGGCCGUGUCUCAGUCCCAGUGUGGCUGGUCAUCCUCUCAGACCAGCUACGGAUCGUCGCCUUGGUAGGCUUUUACCCCACCAACUAGCUAAUCCGACGUAGGCUCACCCCAGAGCGCAAGGCCUUUCGGUCCCCUGCUUUUGAUCUCUCGAUAUCAUGUGGUAUUAGCCCGAGUUUCCUCGGGUUAUCCCACGCUCCAGGACAGAUUCCUACGUGUUACUCACCCGUCCGCCACUCGCCACCCCAUAAAGACCGAAAUCUUUACUGUGCUGCCGUUCGACUUGCAUGUGUUAGGCAUGCCCCCAGCGUUCAAUCUGAGCCAUGAUCAAACUCUAAUCGAAUUCCCGCGGCCGCCAUG